rnacentral:rRNA from 1 species
GACGAACGCUGGCGGCGGGCUUAACACAUGCAAGUCGAACGAGAAACUCAGAGCUUGCUCUGAGUGGACAGUGGCGCACGGGUGAGUAACGCGUAGGCAACCUGCCCCUAGAAUGGGAAUAACUUCGGGAAACCGAUGCUAAAACCGAAUAAUAUCUUAUGGUCGCAUGGCCAAUAGAUCAAAACUCCGGUGUCUAGGGAUGGGCCUGCGUGGGAUUAGGUAGUUGGUGAGGUAACGGCUCACCAAGCCGACGAUCCUUAGCUGGUCUGAGAGGAUGAUCAGCCACACUGGCACUGAGACACGGGCCAGACUCCUACGGGAGGCAGCAGUGAGGAAUAUUGCGCAAUGGGGGAAACCCUGACGCAGCCACGCCGCGUGGUGGAUGACACCCCUAUGGGGCGUAAACACCUUUUAUGAGAGAAGAAGGCCCUACUCGGUAGGGUUUGACGGUACCUCAUGAAUAAGCACCGGCUAACUCCGUGCCAGCAGCCGCGGUAAUACGGAGGGUGCAAGCGUUGUCCGGAAUCACUGGGUGUAAAGGGUGUGUAGGCGGAGCUGUAAGUCAGAGGUGAAAUCCUACGGCUCAACCGUAGAACUGCCUUUGAUACUGCAGCCCUUGGGUAUCGGAGAGGUUGCUGGAAUUCGUGGUGUAGCGGUGAAAUGCGCAGAUAUCACGAGGAACACCAGAGGCGUAGGCGGGCAACUGGACGAUUACUGACGCUGAGGCACGAAAGCGUGGGGAGCAAACAGGAUUAGAUACCCUGGUAGUCCACGCCGUAAACGAUGGAUGCUCGGUGUUGCCCCUUUUUUGGGGCAGUGCCUAAGCUAACGCGUUAAGCAUCCCACCUGGGGAGUACGCUCGCAAGAGUGAAACUCAAAGGAAUUGACGC